rnacentral:sRNA from 1 species
UUCUACUCCCAAUUUUGACCUUAAUGUAUUUUUUCGGGCCUUUUUGUGAUCUUUGCUAUAUUACGAGGGGAAAAUUAUAUGUUCGGACAUUGUUUUCCAAUAUUUUGCAUGUAUCAAAGCUCUUAUAAACAAGAUAAGGUAUUCCUACAAAGGUGGUAGGACCCACGGCAAAUGGAUCAUAAAGUCUUCAAAAAAGAAUAGAUACGAUUGCAUUGGAUGUAGUAAUAGAUGCGAUCAUACCAGCACUAAUGCAUCGGAUCCCAUCAGAACUCUGCAGUUAAGCGUGCUUGGACAAGAGUAGUACUAGGAUGGGUGACCUCCAGGAAUGUCCUCGUGUUGCAUCCCUCUUUUUUUUCGGUUUUUCUCUUCUUCUUUUUUUGUUAAAAAUGUAUGACUCUUUAACUUUUAGACCUUGAGGCCAAACUUGGCAUGUGAUACCUUUUAGGAAAGCCCAAAGAGAGCUCUCCGAUGAAUGAGGAAGGAAAAUGGAAUUCUUCUAUUGUUUUUUUUUCUACUCCAAAUUUUGACCUUAAUGUACUCUUUCGAGCCUUUUCGUGAUCUUUGCUAUAUUACGGGGCGAAAAUUAUAUGUUCGGACAUUGUUUUCGAAUAUUUAGCAUGUAUCAAAGCUCUUAUAAACAAGAUAGGGUAUUCCUACAUGAUAACAGAAAUGAUGAAAGACCUAGACGAAAACUGAAUAUCAAAUACUUGAAA